GGCUUAGAGUUUGAUCAUGGCUCAGGAUGAACGCUGGCGGCGUGCCUAACACAUGCAAGUCGAGCGAAGCACUUUACUUUGAUUCUUCGGAUGAAGAGUUUUGUGACUGAGCGGCGGACGGGUGAGUAACGCGUGGGUAACCUGCCUCAUACAGGGGGAUAACAGUUAGAAAUGACUGCUAAUACCGCAUAAGACCACAGCACCGCAUGGUGCAGGGGUAAAAACUCCGGUGGUAUGAGAUGGACCCGCGUCUGAUUAGCUAGUUGGUAAGGUAACGGCUUACCAAGGCGACGAUCAGUAGCCGACCUGAGAGGGUGACCGGCCACAUUGGGACUGAGACACGGCCCAAACUCCUACGGGAGGCAGCAGUGGGGAAUAUUGCACAAUGGGGGAAACCCUGAUGCAGCGACGCCGCGUGAGCGAAGAAGUAUUUCGGUAUGUAAAGCUCUAUCAGCAGGGAAGAAACUGACGGUACCUGACUAAGAAGCACCGGCUAAAUACGUGCCAGCAGCCGCGGUAAUACGUAUGGUGCAAGCGUUAUCCGGAUUUACUGGGUGUAAAGGGAGCGUAGACGGAUAGGCAAGUCUGGAGUGAAAGCCCGGGGCUCAACCCCGGGACUGCUUUGGAAACUGUUUAUCUAGAGUGCUGGAGAGGUAAGUG
rnacentral:rRNA from 1 species